GGCUCCAUAGUGUAGUGGUUAGCACGUCUGCUUUACAUGCAGAAGGUCUUGGGUUCGCGCCCCAGGUGGAGCCA
rfam:Pteropus alecto contig110424, whole genome shotgun sequence.